rnacentral:rRNA from 1 species
UACGGAGGGUGCAAGCGUUAUCCGGAAUUACUGGGUUUAAAGGGUGCGUAGGCGGCCUGAUAAGUCAGAGGUGAAAGCUUGUCGCUUAACGAUCGAAUUGCCUUUGAUACUGUAAAGCUUGAAAGAGGUUGAGGUUGGCAGAAUGUGGCAUGUAGCGGUGAAAUGCAUAGAUAUGCCAUAGAACACCGAUUGCGAAGGCAGCUUGCUGGGCCUACAUUGACGCUGAGGCACGAAAGCGUGGGGACCGAACAGG